GCGAACCGGGGGAACUGAAACAUCUAAGUACCCCGAGGAAAAGAAAUCAACCGAGAUUCCCCCAGUAGCGGCGAGCGAACGGGGAGGAGCCCAGAGCCUGAAUCAGCAUGUGUGUUAGUGGAAGCGUCUGGAAAGGCGCGCGAUACAGGGUGACAGCCCCGUACACAAAAGCGCAUGUGUUGUGAGCUCGAUGAGUAGGGCGGGACACGUGGUAUCCUGUCUGAAUAUGGGGGGACCAUCCUCCAAGGCUAAAUACUCCUGACUGACCGAUAGUGAACCAGUACCGUGAGGGAAAGGCGAAAAGAACCCCGGCGAGGGGAGUGAAAAAGAACCUGAAACCGUGUACGUACAAGCAGUGGGAGCACAGGUUUACCUGUGUGACUGCGUACCUUUUGUAUAAUGGGUCAGCGACUUAUAUUCUGUAGCAAGGUUAACCGUAUAGGGGAGCCGGAGGGAAACCGAGUCUUAAUUGGGCGUUAAGUUGCAGGGUAUAGACCCGAAACCCGGUGAUCUAGCCAUGGGCAGGUUGAAGGUUGGGUAACACUAACUGGAGGACCGAACCGACUAAUGUUGAAAAAUUAGCGGAUGACCUGUGGCUGGGGGUGAAAGGCCAAUCAAACCGGGAGAUAGCUGGUUCUCCCCGAAAGCUAUUUAGGUAGCGCCUCGUGAAUUCAUCUCCGGGGGUAGAGCACUGUUUCGGCUAGGGGGCCAUCCCGGCUUACCAACCCGAUGCAAACUGCGAAUACCGGAGAAUGUUAUCACGGGAGACACACGGCGGGUGCUAACGUCCGUCGUGAAGAGGGAAACAACCCAGACCGCCAGCUAAGGUCCCAAAGUCAUGGUUAAGUGGGAAACGAUGUGGGAAGGCCCAGACAGCCAGGAUGUUGGCUUAGAAGCAGCCAUCAUUUAAAGAAAGCGUAAUAGCUCACUGGUCGAGUCGGCCUGCGCGGAAGAUGUAACGGGGCUAAACCAUGCACCGAAGCUGCGGCAGCGA
rnacentral:rRNA from 1 species